GAUGAACGCUGGCGGCGUGCCUAAUACAUGCAAGUCGAGCGAACAGAUGAGGAGCUUGCUCCUCUGACGUUAGCGGCUGACGGGUGAGUAACACGUGGAUAACCUACCUAUAAGACUGGGAUAACUUCGGGAAACCGGAGCUAAUACCGGAUAAUAUAUUGAACCGCAUGGUUCAAUAGUGAAAGACGGUUUUGCUGUCACUUAUAGAUGGAUCCGCGCCGCAUUAGCUAGUUGGUAAGGUAACGGCUUACCAAGGCAACGAUGCGUAGCCGACCUGAGAGGGUGAUCGGACACACUGGAACUGAGACACGGUCCAGACUCCUAAGGGAGGCAGCAGUAGGGAAUCUUCCGCAAUGGGCGAAAGCCUGACGGAGCAACGCCGCGUGAGUGAUGAAGGUCUUCGGAUCGUAAAACUCUGUUAUUAGGGAAGAACAAAUGUGUAAGUAACUAUGCACGUCUUGACGGUACCUAAUCAGAAAGCCACGGCUAACUACGUG
rnacentral:rRNA from 1 species